UACGGUAGGGGGCAAGCGUUGUCCGGAAUCAUUGGGCGUAAAGAGCGCGUAGGCGGUCCGGUAAGUCGGUUGUGAAAACCUGGGGGCUCGAACCCUCAGAGGCCGACCGAUACUGUCGGGCUAGAGUCCGGAAGAGGCGAGUGGAAUUCCCUGGUGUAGCGGUGAAAUGCGCAGAUAUCAGGAGGAACACCAAUGGCGAAGGCAGCGUCGCUGGGACGGUACUGACGCUGAGGCGACGAAAGGCAGUGGGGGAGCAAACAGG
rnacentral:rRNA from 1 species